rnacentral:rRNA from 1 species
CCUACGGGUGGCAGCAGUGAGGAAUAUUGGUCAAUGGACGAGAGUCUGAACCAGCCAAGUAGCGUGAAGGAUGACUGCCCUAUGGGUUGUAAACUUCUUUUAUAUGGGAAUAAAAUGUUCCACGUGUGGGAUUUUGUAUGUACCAUAUGAAUAAGGAUCGGCUAACUCCGUGCCAGCAGCCGCGGUAAUACGGAGGAUCCGAGCGUUAUCCGGAUUUAUUGGGUUUAAAGGGAGCGUAGGUGGAUUGUUAAGUCAGUUGUGAAAGUUUGCGGCUCAACAGUAAAAUUGCAGUUGAAACUGGCAGUCUUGAGUACAGUAGAGGUGGGCGGAAUUCGUGGUGUAGCGGUGAAAUGCUUAGAUAUCACGAAGAACUCCGAUUGCGAAGGCAGUUCACUGGACUGCAACUGACACUGAGGCUCGAAAGUGUGGGUAUCAAACAGGAUUAGAUAUCCGAGUAGUC